CCCCCUGGACAAAGACUGACGCUCAGGUGCGAAAGCGUGGGGAGCAACCAGGAUUAGAUACCCUGGUAGUCCACGCUGUAAACGAUGUCGACUUGGAGGUUGUUCCCUUGAGGAGUGGCUUCCGGAGCUAACGCGUUAAGUCGACCGCCUGGGGAGUACGGCCGCAAGGUUAAAACUCAAAUGAAUUGACGGGGGCCCGCACAAGCGGUGGAGCAUGUGGUUUAAUUCGAUGCAACGCGAAGAACCUUACCUAUUCUUGACAUCCACGGAAUUUGGCAGAGAUGCGUUGGUGCCUUCGGGAACCGUGAGCCAGGUGCUGCAUGGCUGUCGUCAGCUCGUGUUGUGAAAUGUUGGGUUAAGUCCCGCAACGAGCGCAACCCUUAUCCUUUGUUGCCAGCGGUUCGGCCGGGAACUCAAAGGAGACUGCCAGUGAUAAACUGGAGGAAGGUGGGGAUGACGUCAAGUCAUCAUGGCCCUUACGAGUAGGGCUACACACGUGCUACAAUGGCAUAUACAAAGAGAAGCGACCUCGCGAGAGCAAGCGGACCUCAUAAAGUAUGUCGUAGUCCGGAUUGGAGUCUGCAACUCGACUCCAUGAAGUCGGAAUCGCUAGUAAUCG
rnacentral:rRNA from 1 species